GACGAACGCUGGCGGCGUGCUUAACACAUGCAAGUCGAACGGAAAGGCCUGCUUUUGUGGGGUGCUCGAGUGGCGAACGGGUGAGUAACACGUGAGUAACCUGCCCUUGACUUUGGGAUAACUUCAGGAAACUGGGGCUAAUACCGGAUAGGAGCUCCUGCUGCAUGGUGGGGGUUGGAAAGUUUCGGCGGUUGGGGAUGGACUCGCGGCUUAUCAGCUUGUUGGUGGGGUAGUGGCUUACCAAGGCUUUGACGGGUAGCCGGCCUGAGAGGGUGACCGGCCACAUUGGGACUGAGAUACGGCCCAGACUCCUACGGGAGGCAGCAGUGGGGAAUAUUGCACAAUGGGCGGGAGCCUGAUGCAGCAACGCCGCGUGCGGGAUGACGGCCUUCGGGUUGUAAACCGCUUUCGCCUGUGACGAAGCGUGAGUGACGGUAAUGGGUAAAGAAGCACCGGCUAACUACGUG
rnacentral:rRNA from 1 species